GGUCAAAUAGCGCAAUGGUAGCGCGACUCCCCAUUAUGCCAACCUUGUUAACCUGUCAGGAGGUCGUGUCCCUGAUUUCUCCUUAGGCUAGCCCGAAGGAAAUUUUGGAGGUUAAUGAGGGGAAGUACUGGUAGGAGGAGGUUGCAGGUUCGACUCCUGCUUUGACCA